rnacentral:rRNA from 1 species
UACGGAGGAUGCGAGCGUUAUCCGGAUUUAUUGGGUUUAAAGGGUGCGUAGGCGGGAUGCCAAGUCAGCGGUAAAAAUGCGGUGCUCAACGCCGUCGAGCCGUUGAAACUGGCGUUCUUGAGUGGGCGAGAAGUAUGCGGAAUGCGUGGUGUAGCGGUGAAAUGCGUAGAUAUAUGGAGGAACACCGGUGGCGAAAGCGGCUCUCUGGCCUGUAACUGACACUGAGGCUCGAAAGCGUGGGGAGCAAACAGG